rnacentral:tRNA from 1 species
GGGCUCAUAGCUCAGCUGGUUAGAGCACCUGCCUCUUAAGCAGGGUGUCCUGGGUUCGAGCCCCAGUGAGCCCUCCA